GCGCGUCGUGGGGCAGGUCGUGACCCCUCACCCAAUCCACUCGCCCACACGCCCAUCCCUCCCUGCCUCCUCGAUCUCUCUCCCUCAUCAGCCGCAAUGGCACGAAGCAACAAACCCUAGCCCCCUUUCCCACGGCUGUUGCGCCCCGACCCCUUCCUCCACCCCCCUCCCCGAUCCCCAUGGUCGCCGUCCCUCUCACUCCUCCUGCCUCAUCAAGACAGCCACCACGUCCAUCCCUCCUUAGGCGCCAUGGCGGCGGUCGGGCCGGAGCGGGGGCGGAAAGCCGUGGGGAGUCCGCCUGCAGGAGGAAGCAGUAUAGGGGCUGAUGGAGCGACGGAUGCGAUCCACCGCCUCCUAGGUGCUCAUCCGCCCUGGCUCGUGAGGAAGCAGCGGGACGAGGGAUGAGCUCAACUGGGCGCAUCGGAGAAAGAGGGAAGGAGCGGAUACCAGCCAGGAGGCUGCUCGGCUCAGUCCAGCCAUGGAGCUGGCGCUGCGGACUCCCUGCUAGCCUCCUUCAUCUUCAUGUGGAUUUAGGUGGCACACUAGAUGUUGCACCACCGAUGGCAGCAGCCAGAUUUGGCGUUCGUGAUGCAAUGGCUUGGUGUUGCCCUUGCUUGAUGGUGCUGGAUAUGUCAAUAAACUGAUCGUGGAUUAUCUCCAACUGUGUACUACCUCUCUCGCUCUCAAUGGUGACGCAGAUCUCCUUUUGAUCGAUAUGCCAUUGUUUCGUGCAGCGGGUUGAGGUAUGUAAUGCGCAGUUCAGGGGCAUAAUUAUGAUUGAGCACCAAAAUGAGACCUGAAUCCAACUUCUUACAGAUAUAUUAAGUUCGGGUGUGCUUGUGCAGAUAGUCGAUGGGGCUCUUGGCCUUCUAGCUAUAGACUGAUUGACAAGCAUGGUUCAUUGUUAUUUCCUUCCUUAAUAGGUAAUGGCACUACACCUAUCUCAGUUCUCUAUAGACAUCACUCCUAUUUCUAGCCAUCAGUUCUGUGUCUAGCCAUCAGUUUUUGUUUCAGUAGCAAAUAACCAAAAUGAAUGGAUAUUAUUUGCUGUAGUAUUGUAAGGGAAGCAGGUUCUCCAAAUAAAUGUGGAAGAUUGCAGCAUGAAGGGUAUCACUUCACCGGAUUUUUCUACUUCUUGGUGGGCAGCUAAAUUAGUUUCCUUGGUCCGUUUCUCAACUUAUCAUAGAAGAACUCUUUAUCUCUGUAAUUUUCUCUUUAUUAGCGCUGAAGGCAUAGAUCAAGUGCUACAUGGCUAUGCUCUUAGGAGCUUAGAGCAUCAGUGGUUGGCCUCCUUUCUAUUUGUUAUUUUUUCUAGGAUUUGCGUGUGUUAAUCGGAUGAAUAUAUGGAAGGAUACAGAGAGGCCAGAGGUAUAUAUUCUUCUACCAAUAAAAAUCAUUCCAUUCUUUUCUUCACUCGAUUAAAAUAAUUUGGUCGAUCGUAGGAAGUUCCACUAUUUAUGUGUACUGCUCUCAAUAAAACAUAGGCUAGAAAAGUUCCCUUCAGUAUGCAUUCUCAUGUUAUUAAAACAUUUUUGUGGUGCAGUCUGUUAGGCAAACUCUGUUUUCCAGUCAACAGUUUUUACCUGCUUUUCAAUGCAUGUAAUACUGCUGACUUCUCUUCAAGUCCUAGCUGGUUUGUGUGCAUUUUAUGGUUCAGUGUAUCAUUGCAAGAGUUUAUGGUUCAGUGUAUCACUGCAUGUUCCUAACACCGACAAAUUUUAAUGUUUUUUGUAUUUUUUUCGAUGCAAGCCUAUUCUUCGACUAUAAGACAAUAGAGAUUUCCUAUUAAGUCUAAUCUUUUUUGGGUGCAUUACAGAGUUUGCUAUCAAAUUCUAAAGCAGCAAGAAGAUAGCCAGCCUAAAUGAAUCAAGACAUGAACAAGUGUCGAGAAGUUACGGAUGCAGAAGUGCAACUGGUAUCGCCUCUAUUUUUUUUGUCUCAAAUCAACCGCAGAAAAAACUACUGGAUAAUCAUCUUGCCACUUUAUAAUUGGCUUACUGCUAUGAUCCUGGUGUUAUUUGCUAUGAGAAAAACGAGAGGUUCAAUGUGCGCCUCAUAUCAUCACAUCAAAUGGAAUAAUUGGAUAGGCUUAUGUAUCAUCAUAUCUGCACACAUAAUCUCUUUUAUGAUUGUUUACCUCUUCAGUCUACUAUUCUUAGAUGAUGAACUUCUGCUCUUUUAUGCCAAGUAGUUAAAUUUGUGUGCAUGUUCUCAUGGAUCAUACUUAGAUUUUGCAACUGUGGCCCAUAGGGCCAUGCUAAUUAGUCCUGGCCAUGAUCAGGAGUAAAUUUAUACAAAUUUUAAUUUGCAUGGUAUUUUGUCCAGCACCAAAGGCACCAAUGGUGCUAUUGUUAUGCUUAUUUUUCACUUGAUAAGAAAAUAUACGUACAAAAUCUGCUUGAAGUUGUAACUGUAACUGUACGUCUGCAUUGGAUAAUUUCUUGGACUCGUGUACAGUAGCUUGCAGGAUCUUUUCAGAAGCAGCCCAUAGGAAGUAUAAUCAGGCAUCUUCAGCUGCAAAAGUUUCAUUCAGCAGGCUUUUCCAUGUUGCUAUAUCUGGAUGGUCCGAGUUUCAAAAGAUUUUCUUAGAGACGUUAGGUAAAUUUGGCUAUAAUGGCCCUCCACAUAGUAGGAAUGAUCCUGCAAAAUUCCUAUGUAUGCUUGCCUAUGUCUCAGUUUCAGUUGAAUUUAUACAUACCGUCUAGCUCAUUUUGGUGCCUCUUUUUUGGAAUUCCUAGCAUUUUCUGACCUAUGUGGGUUUUCUCUUAUAAUCUGAGGAGUCCUUAAAAUUGUCGAUAAUAUUAUAAAAUACUAAUUGAUAAUAGAAGAGUUCAAGGGUUUACCACGUUCUGCAAUUAUCUUUCAUUAGGAACCAAGACGGCAAUCCUCCAAACUUUUCAGCAAUUUCCUAUGUUUUUUCGCAUGUAGGCAUAAUAAAAAGUUUAUAGAAACACUAUUUAAUUUUUAAGGCCUCCUUAACUAGUUUACACAUGUUGUUAGGUAUAUGUAUAUUUUUAGGACCAUAAAUAUGUGUUUUUUUGAACUGAAAUAUGUGUUUCUAAACACACACCAAAGUAUAUUUUUUUACGGCAUAAGGAUCUAAAUUCUUGGCGUCGGUAUUUGCUCAAACAGGAGAUUACUAAAAAAAAUACAUGUAUUUUCAAGGUGGCAUAAUUUUGAAUGGGGCUUUGUGCUACCAAACUAAAAUGUGUACAUUCAUCUCAUUACUCUCUCUGUUCGGUAAUAUAAGUCUUUUUUAGAAAUUUCAAUAUGGAUUGCAUACGGAUGUAUAUAGACAUAGUUUAGAGUGUAGAUUCACUUAUUUUGCUCCGUAUGUAGUUCAUAGUGGAAUCUCUUAAAAGACUUAUAUUUAGAAAUGAAGGGUUUAGACAACAAGCCACUGUUUUUUCUCUUGUUAAAGGAAAUUAAAUUUGCUUCAUAUGUGCUUGCCCACAACUAAUAAACCAAUUAAAUCAUGGAUUUUGUUUUGAAUACAACUCUGUGCUACCAAACUAAUAUGUGUGUCUACAUCUCAUUGUAGACAACAGACCACAUUUUUUUCUUCUUAAAAGAUUUGUUGCCAAUAUGCUUGCCCACAACUAAACCAACUAAACCAUGGAGUUUCUUUUCAAUGUCCACAUGGAUUCGAUGGGUUUGUGCGCCUUUUGGUACUUCAUACAACCAAAUAAGAAUGUGUAUAUAUCAUCUCAUUGUAUAGAACAACAGACCAUUUUUUUGGCUAAAGAAUAUUUCAUUUACUAUCAUACGUGCUUGCCCAUACAUAUUUCUUUAAAUGAGACUCUAUACUAUCAAGUUCUUUUUGCGAGAAAACUACGACUACAAGAAACUAAAGCGAGCAGAAGGUGCGCCGCCAUCAUUGCCCCUCCCUUGCAGGAGCCGGGCAAAACUUUUGUAGUAGACAGUCGGGAAGUCGUCGUGCUAAGGCCCCAUCGGACCAGCGCAGCAGAACAACAACUGCCGCCGAUGAAGAGUAGUGUAGAUCAGAAGGAUCCAACCUGAAUACACAUGAAUGUAGACGAACUACAACCACAUCCGAGCAAAUCCACCAAGGACAUAUCCGUCGAAGACACACCUCCACACGCUUACCGACGCACCAUUGGAACGGGGGUUAGGCAGGGAGAAUUUAU